UGAGCCAAAAGAAACUAAAAUUUUCAAACAGAAAAGCAGUGCUGGGAAGACAGGAAAAUAAGCACGCUGAUAAAUCAGGCUUCUGGAUUUCAACAGAUGUGUAGCCCAGCCUGGGAGCCUCUCAUUAGGUCUCUGGGGGAGACUGCCAGGUCUGAGUGGGAGUGCUGAGUCAUCUGCAGGGGCUUCCGACACAGGGGCAUGCGCCAGUUCAUGCUGAUUAAGUCACAUAAUGAGGUGCAGGGAAGGAGGCUCAUGUGCGCGUGCUCUGGGGUAGACCUUUAGUGACUCUCUGAAGCUCUGUUGUUUUGUUUUUGAGUUUUCUCAGCUCAGUUGGCCCUGGGCUGUCACUCGAGUACAACUGGGUGGAGCUGAGUGGUUUCCAGCCCCAGCUGUGCCACCUGCGCCUCCCAGGCUGACUGCCCGCAGCUCUACCCUCUCCCCCUGCAGCUCAGCAUGGCCUGACUGCCUGUCACCCAGACAGCUCACUCUCACCCACAGGACUGAGGAGACUGCCAGCUGCACCAAAAUCCUAUCAGAUGGUUCCCUGACCUGGAACGGCAGAUGGGAGACUGCUGGUGAGUCCCCUGCCGUUCAGGACCGGACUGCGUACUGGAUUAAUUCCUCACUUCUCAACACUCAGGAGCUGCUAAACUUGUCGUUGCUGGUUUGCAAACACCACCAGUCUAAUUCAUUUACCACAGCCUGCCCUGGGAUCGCUCCCAGCCGAAGCCUCCUCUGGUCCGCUCCCCGCGGCUCCUUCCGUGCUUCGCUCCGAAGCCUCUACCGGUCCGCUCUCCGUGGCUCCUUCCGGACUUCGCUCCGAAGCCUCUACCGGUCCGCUCUCUGCGGCUCCUUUUGGGCUUCUACUUCCCCCCAGGGGUGGCACCAGUAUAUAUACGGAUACAGUGUCCAAUCAUAUUAAAGUAAGCAAGGCAAGCUGAUUGGCUAACAUAUUAUUGAGCGGGUUGUUUACGCGGUAAGCAGGAAACUAACGUGCUCGAUGGGAGGGGUAAUCUAACUCAGGCUUUACUCUUUACCACAGGCCGCAUGAUCGCUAUAUGCGGCGGCUCGGCAAUGUGGUGGCUCUCAACAUAUAGGCAGUAAGCUUAACACAGAACACCACUGGUGGUUUAUAGCAAAA